AUCUUCGCGUUUGGCACAUAUUCCGGGAGAUAGGAAUCGACCGCUAGCAGGUGCCUUCGGGCGCGGGAAAGUGAAUUAACAAGGUUUUCAUAAGGCCUUUCAGGUUUGCUUUUUCUA
rnacentral:rRNA from 1 species